rnacentral:rRNA from 1 species
CCUACGGGAGGCAGCAGUGAGGAAUUUUGCGCAAUGGGGGCAACCCUGACGCAGCGACGCCGCGUGAGUGAAGAAGGCCUUCGGGUUGUAAAGCUCUGUCAGAGGGGACGAAUAAGCGGAGUCUAACAGGCUUACGCGAUGACGGUACCCUCAGAGGAAGCACCGGCUAACUCUGUGCCAGCAGCCGCGGUAAUA